UUUCCGUAGGUGAACCUGCGGAAGGAUCAUUAUUGUAUAACCGAGGUGCGAGGGCUGUCGCUGACCCGAAAGGUCGUGCACGCCCGAGUGCCCUCACACACAUCUAUCCCACCCCUAUGUGGACCACCGCGUGGGUCCCCCUUUGGCUUGUUCGGAGGGGGGCUUACGUUUUCACACAAACUUUGUAUGAAGUGUAGAAUGUAUUUUUUGUUUUUGCGAUCACGCAAUCAAUACAACUUUCAACAACGGAUCUCUUGGCUCUC
rnacentral:misc_RNA from 1 species